GACGAACGCUGGCGGCGUGCCUAAUACAUGCAAGUUGAGCGCUGAAGGUUGGUACUUGUACCAACUGGAUGAGCAGCGAACGGGUGAGUAACGCGUGGGGAAUCUGCCUUUGAGCGGGGGACAACAUUUGGUAACGAAUGCUAAUACCGCAUAAAAACUUUAAACACAAGUUUUAAGUUUGAAAGAUGCAAUUGCAUCACUCAAAGAUGAUCCCGCGUUGUAUUAGCUAGUUGGUGAGGUAAAGGCUCACCAAGGCGAUGAUACAUAGCCGACCUGAGAGGGUGAUCGGCCACAUUGGGACUGAGACACGGCCCAAACUCCUACGGGAGGCAGCAGUAGGGAAUCUUCGGCAAUGGACGAAAGUCUGACCGAGCAACGCCGCGUGAGUGAAGAAGGUUUUCGGAUCGUAAAACUCUGUUGGUAGAGAAGAACGUUGGUGAGAGUGGAAAGCUCAUCAAGUGACGGUAACUACCCAGAAAGGGACGGCUAACUACGUG
rnacentral:rRNA from 1 species